rnacentral:lncRNA from 1 species
UCAUUAUCAAGGCAGAAUGGAAAAAAAAACGCUUUCCGACUAAAAUAUAGAAAUGAAACUGGCAAGUUUGGAAAAGAGAAAUGCAGUACUUUUAUUUUUCUCUCCUAAACUGUUUUAUUUUUUUUAAAAGACUUCCUUUAUUCAAAACAAGCAAGAAGAAACAUUGACCGUAAGGCGUGAGGAAGAGGAAGAGGAAGUGGAACGUGGAUGGAAGGCCAGGGGAGAGCAAGCGAUCACAGAUCAGCUGGGAGCCCCGAUGGAACUUCUCAGACCAAAUGUGUAGAAGAUGCUGUAACACUGAAGCCUUCCUCUCCUCUCCUCCUCCAAGUAAUUAACCAACAGACUUAACAUUUCAAUACAAAUUUUAAUUUCAAUGUUUGACUGCUAAAAAGAUCGAAAGGAAAAUAAUAAGUCAUGUUUGUCUAUUCAUCAGUUAACCCCUGCUUGAACACCGCUUUUUCCGAAAAGUGCCCAUAUCCCUCCCUCUCUCCUUCCUUCCCUCCUCUCUCUCUCUCUCUUCCUCUCCUUCCAUCCUUCCCUCCCUCCUCCCUCUCUCUCUCUCCUUCCUUCCCUCCUCCUUCCUUCCCUCCUCCCUCCCUCUCCCCUUCCUUCCCUCUCUCCUUCCUUCCUUCCCUCUCUCCCCUUUCUUCCCUCUCUCUCUCCCCUUCCUUCCUCCCUCUCCCCUUCCUUCCCUCUCUCCCCUUCCUUCCCUCUCUCCCCUUCCUUCCCUCUCUCCCCUUCCUUCCCUCUCUCCUUCCUUCCUCCUCUCUCUCUCUCUUCCUCUCCUUCCAUCCUUCCCUCCCUCCUCCCUCUCUCCUUCCUUCCCUCUCUCCUUCCUUCCUUCCCUCUCUCCCCUUUCUUCCCUCUCUCUCUCCCCUUCCUUCCCUCUCUCUCUCCCCUUCCUUCCUUCCCUCCCUCUCCCCUUCCUUCCUUCCCUCCCUCUCCCCUUCCUUCCCUCUCUCUCCUUCCUUCCUUCCCUCCCCCUCUCUCUCUCUAUCUCUCUCUAACAAGUGUGAGAAAGAAAGUGUUUGAAACUAUAUAAAAUAGACACACAGUUGGGAGAGAGACAGGAAGGAGGGGACAGAGGAAGAAGAGGCAAGAUAUCCUGGGGGAAUUUAAUUAGCAAAAACGUGUUUUUGUCAUCAAAACCAGAUUAAAACGGUUUGGAAAUAUUUCUUUUAAAAACAAACUGCUCCACAAAAGAUAAAGAGCAAACAAUGUUUUGGAGAUUAACAGGAACAAGGAGCUUCAGACCAGGACUACAAGGCCUGAGAGAGGAGGGAGGAGAGAGAGAGGGGGGGAGAGAG